GUGUUUCUUAAUUUAUAAGUGUACAAGCAAGUGUAUUCUUAGUACGGGUCCCAAGCCUGUAUGAAUGGAUAAAGGGUAUCCGGUAUAAAAUCAUUGCUAAAUUAAACAUGUGGAUCAUCAAGAAUGACAUUUCCAUACAAGAAUCACUCAAGCUGGGCACAACUCUUUCCCCACAGCUUCAUAUUAUUGCUCAUCAACUUUGUCCCUCUGUGUUUACUAGAGUUCUCCAAAUCAUCUUUGUUCGCAAAAAAACUCAAAAAACUUUUUCUCAAAAGUCCCAUUUCCAUAAGUGCCUACUCUGAUCGACUGGCCACGGAACACCAUGAAUGGGAUCGAGUGGUUUUCCACUACAAUCCAGCGCUACCUAAUGUGCAUGGUUGUCGUCAUAGCAACGCAUCCGAGCAUUGUUAAAUUCUCCAGUUCUUUUGAUCUUUGGGCUGAAGGAAGGACAACACUCAGUGUAUAAAUGCUCAAUCAAUAAUCUCUUUAUUCCAUACAAUUCUCAUUAUUCCAAACAACACCUUUGAGCUUAAACCAUCCGGAGGGGAGAUGAGCGCGGGAGGGUGUCCGCCUGAUCUCGACGUGUCUGAGCGUUUCUCACAUUCUUAUAGCUUCAGCCCCCCUCCACCUAGUCAUAAAACCUAAACAUCCACAUUCUUUCUCUCUUACGGCGCCUAAGUGACGGCCUUGGCCCCCUGUUUUAUCUCCUCCUGAUGAGAUGGGGCAGAAAACCUCUCCGGUAUGCUCUGUUCUCUUCAGACAAAUAAGGCCAUGACUCUCUGAAAACAGUAUUUCUUAUAACUCAGCAGUAUCAUGCAUCAUAAAACAAUAUCAUUUAUUCACAAUAAUGCAGCAGUCUAAUGUAAUACAAAUCAGUUUAAUAAAUGUAAUAGUUAUCAAUUUCUUCUAAGUCAGGAGAAUAAUGCAAGCUAAAACUACAUAAUGAUUUCACAAUCUUUAAUUAGGGGUAUAACGUGGCAUAAGAUAAUAUAAUAAUCUCACAGCAUCCUGCGACCAGUGUUGGGAAGGUUACUUUUAAAAUGUAUUCCACUACAGAUUACAGAAUACAUGCCCCAAAAUGUAUUUUGUAACGUAUUCAGAAUACGUUACUCAAUGAGAGUAAAAUAUUCUGAAUACUUUGGAUUACUUAAUAUAUUAUCAUGCUUUUUACAACUACAUGAAUGUACUAUUGCUGUGUGUGUAUUGCUAUUACUGAAGGUUACUCGCCACACCAAUACCUACUAGAUUUUUAAAUCUUAAUAUAAAAUGAGUAACAGUAGGGUGGACAUUAGGUAAGGCUGCACUUUUUGCAGCGAUCUCGUGCAGAAAACUAUUCCGCGUGUGUAUAAAACAGGUCCGCGGCUCCGAACCGUAGUAAAGGGACCUCUGGCUAAUACGUCGGGUUCUGUGUCGGGCUCAUAGCUGAAAACUAGCUUUACUUUGUUGUCUGGAUCAACUUUGCUAGCGAGAGACAGAGAGAGGCAUUGAAAGGCUGCUCCAACGGAACUUAUUGUUUCGGAGGAAAACACGAACACAGUGUACAGUCGAGUCUUAAUAGCUUACUUACAACUGGGCUACACUGCCCAUGAGGCUACAUUCUUUAGGGCUAUGCCUGUAACACUCUGCCUAUUGCCUUCAUAUUAAAUAAUUUUUUGAACAAUAAUUUUAAAAAGUAUUUCUUCACGUCAUUAUGCGGGCCCUAAGUAGAGGUGACAUGGGCCACGAGAUUGAGACACAGUGUUGGGUUUGCGUUUCCACAGGCCCCACUGGUUUAGAGACUUAUUCCCGUUAACGAAGCAAGGAAGCAAGACGAACAGCUUUAACCGGUUUUUACUUGCUAGAUUUUGUCUCCAUGUUAGGCACUUCAUGGAGCAUACUACCGUCAGCCCAACUAUGUUUCAGAUACUGGCGAACCGGGGAGCCCAACAGCCUUGGAGACGAAGACUGUGGUGUGAUGGCAGCCAGUGACGAGGAAAACUGCUGGAAUGACGCAAACUGCGGGGAUGAAAACUUUUGGAUCUGUGAAAAAAUGGUGGACCAGUGAUCAGUAGCAGGGAAAUUGUCCCAUCACAUACAGAUGUUAACAUGUUUGUCUUGACUGCUGGCUUGCUAGGUUGUGGAAAAUGCUUUAUUGGAUUAAUAAUUUGUGAGUCUUUUAUAUUUGCUUUUAAAUUCCUUAGAGAGACACCUCUAAAGGGAAGUCUGCAGAGCAUGUAGAUGAAACCCUAUUUAUAAAUUGCUGUUAAACAUUAAGUUCCUGUCAUUACUGUAUACUUACUAACACAUACAUAGAGUUCCACUAGCUGAUGCAAUCUUUAAAAUAAUUCAAAUGUUGAGAGAAUACCAAUAUAAUAGAUGAGAUUUUCUUUUAUAUUAGUUUUAAAGUUCCAAAGUUCUCACUUUGUUGUUUGAUUAAACUCAAUAUUCUGGUUUUAACAUUUCGUCUAAGCGGGGUAUGCUGUUGCAGGCUAUUAAAGAACACUUCUUUGUUUCUGUUCCAUAACAGCUGCUAUAAACGCUACUAAGCCAUCUUUCACAUAACAAUGCUAAGCCCUGAGAUCAUAUUACUGUAAAUACAACAAGACAAAAACAAACAUCCUUGAUUUGUGAGCAUUAAGAAAUUGAAAAAUAUUUUUCUCUCUAUCUGCAUGUAGCUUAACUUAAUUUGAGUCUGUGAAGGAAAACUGUGCAUUAAAGUGAACU
ensembl:lncRNA